rnacentral:rRNA from 1 species
GACGGAGGGGGCAAGCGUUGUCCGGACUCACUGGGCGUAAAGGGUGCGUAGGCGGUCUUGUGCGUCGGCGCUGAAAUCACGCAGCUCAACUGCGUGGCGCGUGCCGAUACGACACGACUCGAGGCAUGGAGAGGAUAGGGGAACUCCUGGUGUAGUGGUGAAAUGCGUAGAGAUCAGGAAGAACAUCCGUGGCGGCAAGCGCCUAUCUGGCCAUGACCUGACGCUGAGGCACGAAAGCGUGGGGAGCGAACCGG